rnacentral:lncRNA from 1 species
UGGCUGUCCACUUUCCUCUGUACAUGGUUCUACCCAGGAAGAUGCUCUGCGGCCACACUCGCUCGCUUGCUCAGAACAGCAGAAGCGAUUAGAGAGAAUAAAGCCCAGAUCUGGGCAGAACAGUUCCCCAGCAAGUGAUCCAGCUGCUGAGUGGAAGGCUGGAGACCAAGAAUGGGAAGCCUGGAACCUCAUGACCAUUCUUAUGUAGCUGCAGACGGUCACAGUGCCUAAGAAAGUCAUGGCUCCCUCCCUGGUGAGAGACAGGCAACCGGCCCAAGGGAUGGUGGGAUAUGAAACCCUAAUGAAGUGGCCAUGCCUGUGGUAUCUAAAAGUACAUGAAAGUUAUCCAAGAGAUCUUAAUGAAGAGGACAUACCUGACGAGACAUACUCUGUAACCUUACAUCUGGUGGGGUUUUUCAUCCAGCUGUGGCAUGGGAGAGAAUCUUGUACACGGAAGGGUUUAAAAUGGCCACUGCUCAC